AGCUGCCUGCUGCCCUGACUAUGUUCUUGUUACUAAUUAAAGGUAGUGGCUGUGAAUUCAGUGUGAUACACAAUAAGUAUUCAUCACGUAAGCCUGGGUGACCUGGAUCUGCCUGCUGUGGAUCCUGUUUCCCUCUGCCUGGCUCCUUUGCAAAUUGCAUCUAGAGUGGUGGCCCUGAAUACACUCCUUGUACGCAUGUCCAAAUGCUGCUGUGUCUUCAGAACCAGGACACCUGCAGUAUUACCAACAGGUGCCAGUGACUUCUGGAAAACACAUGACUGUAGCUUCAUGGCCCUCACACUCUGCCUACAACCCUUCUUCUUCAGCCAAUCUCUUCAUGUCUCAUUUUGUGUGUAGUUCAACAACUUUAAUAAGACUUGCUUG
rnacentral:lncRNA from 1 species